rnacentral:rRNA from 1 species
CCUACGGGAGGCAGCAGUGAGGAAUAUUGGUCAAUGGACGAGAGUCUGAACCAGCCAAGUAGCGUGAAGGAUGACUGCCCUAUGGGUUGUAAACUUCUUUUAUAUGGGAAUAAAAUGUUCCACGUGUGGGAUUUUGUAUGUACCAUAUGAAUAAGGAUCGGCUAACUCCGUGCCAGCAGCCGCGGUAAUACGGUGGAUCCGAGCGUUAUCCGGAUUUAUUGGGUUUAAAGGGAGCGUAGGUGGAUUGUUAAGUCAGUUGUGAAAGUUUGCGGCUCAACCGUAAAAUUGCAGUUGAAACUGGCAGUCUUGAGUACAGUAGAGGUGGGCGGAAUUCGUGGUGUAGCGGUGAAAUGCUUAGAUAUCACGAAGAACUCCGAGUGCGAAGGCAGUUCACUGGACUGCAACUGACACUGAGGCUCGAAAGUGUGGGUAUCAAACAGGAUUAGAUACCCCUGUAGUC